rnacentral:tRNA from 2 species
CUCCCGGUGGCCAAGCUGGUUUAAGGCGCGAGACUGUAAUGGUACAAUUGUAAUCUUGAGAUCGGGCGUUCGACUCGCCCCCGGGAGA